GGGCCUGUAGCUCAGCUGGGAGAGCGCCGCGUUCGCAACGCGGAGGUCGAGGGUUCGAAUCCCUUCGGGUCCACCA
rnacentral:tRNA from 1 species